rnacentral:misc_RNA from 1 species
AACUUUUGGCAACGGAUCACUUGGCUCUCGCAUCGAUGAAGAACACAGCGAAAUGCGAUAAGUAAUGUGAAUUGCAGAAUUCAGUGAAUCAUCGAGUCUUUGAACGCACCUUGCGCUCCUUGGUAUUCCGAGGAGCAUGCCUGUUUGAGUGUCAUUAAUAUAUAUCAACCCUCUUGUUGAGUGGUUUGGAUGUGGGGGUUUGCUUUGCUGGCCUCUUUUUGAGAGGUUCAGCUCCCCUGAAAUGCAUUAGCAGAACGACCUGUUCAUUGGUGUGAUAAACUAUCUACGCUAUUGAACGUGAGGCAGUUCAGCUUCCUAACAGUCCUCCGGACAAAUUUAUCAUUUAAUGUGACCUCAAAUCAGGUAGGACUACCCGCUGAACUUAAGCAUAUCAAUAAGCGGAGGCU